UGGGGUAUAGCUCAGUGGUAGAGUGUGUGCUUAGCAUGCAUGAGGUCCUGGAUUCAAUCCCUAGUACCUCUA
rnacentral:tRNA from 1 species